CAGUCGAACGCUUCUUUUUCCCCGGAGCUUGCUCCACCGGAAAAAGAAGAGUGGCGAACGGGUGAGUAACACGUGGGUAACCUGCCCAUCAGAAGGGGAUAACACUUGGAAACAGGUGCUAAUACCGUAUAACAAUCAAAACCGCAUGGUUUUGAUUUGAAAGGCGCUUUCGGGUGUCGCUGAUGGAUGGACCCGCGGUGCAUUAGCUAGUUGGUGAGGUAACGGCUCACCAAGGCCACGAUGCAUAGCCGACCUGAGAGGGUGAUCGGCCACAUUGGGACUGAGACACGGCCCAAACUCCUACGGGAGGCAGCAGUAGGGAAUCUUCGGCAAUGGACGAAAGUCUGACCGAGCAACGCCGCGUGAGUGAAGAAGGUUUUCGGAUCGUAAAACUCUGUUGUUAGAGAAGAACAAGGAUGAGAGUAACUGUUCAUCCCUUGACGGUAUCUAACCAGAAAGCCACGGCUAACUACGUGCCAGCAGCCGCGGUAAUACGUAGGUGGCAAGCGUUGUCCGGAUUUAUUGGGCGUAAAGCGAGCGCAGGCGGUUUCUUAAGUCUGAUGUGAAAGCCCCCGGCUCAACCGGGGAGGGUCAUUGGAAACUGGGAGACUUGAGUGCAGAAGAGGAGAGUGGAAUUCCAUGUGUAGCGGUGAAAUGCGUAGAUAUAUGGAGGAACACCAGUGGCGAAGGCGGCUCUCUGGUCUGUAACUGACGCUGAGGCUCGAAAGCGUGGGGAGCAAACAGGAUUAGAUACCCUGGUAGUCCACGCCGUAAACGAUGAGUGCUAAGUGUUGGAGGGUUUCCGCCCUUCAGUGCUGCAGCUAACGCAUUAAGCACUCCGCCUGGGGAGUACGACCGCAAGGUUGAAACUCAAAGGAAUUGACGGGGGCCCGCACAAGCGGUGGAGCAUGUGGUUUAAUUCGAAGCAACGCGAAGAACCUUACCAGGUCUUGACAUCCUUUGACCACUCUAGAGAUAGAGCUUCCCCUUCGGGGGCAAAGUGACAGGUGGUGCAUGGUUGUCGUCAGCUCGUGUCGUGAGAUGUUGGGUUAAGUCCCGCAACGAGCGCAACCCUUAUUGUUAGUUGCC
rnacentral:rRNA from 1 species